AGCGAACGCUGGCGGCAGGCCUAAUACAUGCAAGUCGAGCGGCCCUUCGGGGCAGCGGCGGACGGGUGAGUAACGCGUGGGAACGUGCCCUUUGGUACGGGAUAACUGAGGGAAACUUCAGCUAAUACCGUAUGUGCCCUACGGGGGAAAGAUUUAUCGCCAUUGGAGCGGCCCGCGUUGGAUUAGCUAGUUGGUGGGGUAAAGGCUCACCAAGGCUACGAUCCAUAGCUGGUCUGAGAGGAUGAUCAGCCACACUGGGACUGAGACACGGCCCAGACUCCUACGGGAGGCAGCAGUAGGGAAUCUUGCGCAAUGGGCGAAAGCCUGACGCAGCCAUGCCGCGUGAAUGAUGAAGGUCUUAGGAUUGUAAAAUUCUUUCACCGGGGAAGAUAAUGACGGUACCCGGAGAAGAAGCCCCGGCUAACUUCGUGCCAGCAGCCGCGGUAAUACGAAGGGGGCUAGCGUUGCUCGGAAUUACUGGGCGUAAAGGGCGCGUAGGCGGAUGUUUAAGUCGGGGGUGAAAGCCCGGGGCUCAACCUCGGAAUUGCCUUCGAUACUGGACAUCUUGAGUACGGGAGAGGUGAGUGGAACUCCGAGUGUAGAGGUGAAAUUCAUAGAUAUUCGGAAGAACACCAGUGGCGAAGGCGACUCACUGGC
rnacentral:rRNA from 1 species